AUAAGAUAUUCAUUUCUUGUUCAAAUGAAUAUUAUUGAUUUCAAAGUCAGAUAUUUUAUGAAGGAUAGUCAGAUAUCGAAAUCUUCUAAAGACAGGGUGUUGUGAGUGAUAUUCACUAGAAAGAUACCAAAUUAGUUUUAAUGAUGAAGUUUCAUGAAUGGAACUGGAUUAUGACCGGAUCAUCAGCUCGAACAUGCAAUUUGAGGGUUCAACAAUGAAAUCAGUUCCUUUAUUUUAAUGGUAAAAAGUCUGCAUCUGAACAUUGGCUGAAAAAAGUACACUAUCAUUAUUCUGUUGAUUGGUGAAUUUGAACAUGGUUCAGUAUGAAAAAGAGAGUUUCCUAGUAUUCUCAGGCAUGUGAAAUAAUUUAAUAAAUCAGAGUUUCAGUUUGUCCUU